rnacentral:misc_RNA from 1 species
AAGUCGUAACAAGGUUUCCGUAGGUGAACCUGCGGAAGGAUCAUUAAUGAGUUAGGGUCUCCGGGCCCGACCUCCAAACCCUUUGUCGUCACAAAACCAAUUCGUUGCUUUGGCGGGACCGCCCCCCAGGGGGCUGUCGGUCUUCGGCCCGGCACGCGCCCGCCAGAGGUGAACCAAACUCUUGUUAUCAAAAACCGUACGUCUGAGUAAAAACGAUUUAAUCAAUCAAAA